rnacentral:rRNA from 1 species
ACGGGUGAGUAACACGUAGGUAACCUGCCUAUGAGACUGGGAUAACUAUCGGAAACGAUAGCUAAGACCGGAUAACUGGUUUUCUCGCAUGAGAGAAUCAUGAAACACGGAGCAAUCUGUGGCUUAUAGAUGGGCCUGCGGCGCAUUAGCUAGUUGGUAGGGUAAUGGCCUACCAAGGCGACGAUGCGUAGCCGACCUGAGAGGGUGACCGGCCACACUGGGACUGAGACACGGCCCAGACUCCUACGGGAGGCAGCAGUAGGGAAUCUUCCGCAAUGGACGCAAGUCUGACGGAGCAACGCCGCGUGAGUGAUGAAGGUUUUCGGAUCGUAAAGCUCUGUUGCCCUAGACGAACAGCAUGAGGAGUAACUGCCUUAUGUGUGACGGUAUAGGAGAAGAAAGCCCCGGCUAACUACGUGCCAGCAGCCGCGGUAAUACGUAGGGGGCAAGCGUUGUCCGGAAUUAUUGGGCGUAAAGCGCGCGCAGGCGGUCAAUUAAGUUGGGUGUUUAAGCCCGGGGCUCAACCCCGGUUCGCAUCCAAAACUGGUUGACUUGAGUGUAGGAGAGGAAAGUGGAAUUCCACGUGUAGC